rnacentral:rRNA from 1 species
AUUGAACGCUGGCGGCAUGCCUUACACAUGCAAGUCGAACGGCAGCACGGGAGCAAUCCUGGUGGCGAGUGGCGAACGGGUGAGUAAUAUAUCGGAACGUGCCCAGUAGUGGGGGAUAGCCCGGCGAAAGCCGGAUUAAUACCGCAUGAGACCUGAGGGUGAAAGCGGGGGAUCGCAAGACCUCGCGCUAUUGGAGCGGCCGAUAUCAGAUUAGCUAGUUGGUGGGGUAAAGGCCUACCAAGGCAACGAUCUGUAGUUGGUCUGAGAGGACGACCAGCCACACUGGGACUGAGACACGGCCCAGACUCCUACGGGAGGCAGCAGUGGGGAAUUUUGGACAAUGGGCGCAAGCCUGAUCCAGCAAUGCCGCGUGCAGGAAGAAGGCCUC